AGUGUACGCUGGCGGUAGGCCUAACACAUGCCAGUCGAACGGCAGCACAGUAAGAGCUUGCUCUUACGGGUGGCGAGUGGCGGACGGGUGAGGAAUACAUCGGAAUCUACUUUUUCGUGGGGGAUAACGUAGGGAAACUUACGCUAAUACCGCAUACGACCUACGGGUGAAAGCAGGGGAUCUUCGGACCUUGCGCGAUUGAAUGAGCAGAUGUCGGAUUAGCUAGUUGGCGGGGUAAAGGCACACCAAGGCGACGAUCCGUAGCUGGUCUGAGAGGAUGAUCAGCCACACUGGAACUGAGACACGGUCCAGACUCCUACGGGAGGCAGCAGUGGGGAAUAUUGGACAAUGGGCGCAAGCCUAAUCCAGCCAUACCGCGUGGGUGAAGAAGGCCUUCGGGUUUUAAAGCCCUUUUGUUGGGAAAGAAAAGCAGCAGGUUAAUACCCCGCUGUUCUGACGGUACCCAAAGAAUAAGCACCGGCUAACUUCGUG
rnacentral:rRNA from 1 species